UACAGAGGUCCCGAGCGUUGUUCGGAUUCAUUGGGCGUAAAGGGUGCGUAGGCGGCACACCAAGUCGGAUGUGAAAUCCCUCGGCUCAACCAAGGAAGUGCAUCCGAAACUGGCGAGCUUGAGUACGGGAGAGGAUCGCGGAAUUCCCGGUGUAGAGGUGAAAUUCGUAGAUAUCGGGAGGAACACCAGUGGCGAAGGCGGCGAUCUGGCCUAGUACUGACGCUGAGGUGCGAAAGCGUGGGGAGCAAACAGG
rnacentral:rRNA from 1 species